rnacentral:lncRNA from 1 species
AGGAAAAUUGGGCGUAUGACAUUUGCGCCGAUUUUGAAAAUUUUCAUUCUUUCAUUUGCGCCGAUUUUAUUUUUUCAUUUGCGCCGAUUUUAUAUUUUUUCCUAAUUGGAUUUACAGGUAAGUUACAGGUAAAUUCAUACUUUUACAUUGACUAAUCACAGAGUAUAAAGACAAAUCAAGUGACAUUGCAAUUGGUAAAUGGCUAUCCCAAUGUUUCGGGUUACCAUUCCUUUCCCUAAAUGAAAUCGAUAACUGCUUCACUUUUGACAUUGUCUGACGCUCCUUCUGAUGACAAAUGUCAUAUAUUCUUAGACAACGUUCAAGUACACAUUCCAUAACGGUCAACCAAUUCGUGAUGGCGUCCAUAAAAUUAACGAAGCGAUGAUUUCAACUUCACCAUUUGGAACUCUUGGUUUAAUAGCUUCCUUGCGAGAAAAUGCGAACUCUAGAAAUGCCCCCACCAGUACGUAUGCCAGACAAAGAAAAGAUGUCCUUCGUUAUCGACAAUUACGCCAAAUAUAGAAGAGACGAAAUCAUAAGAAAGGAAUUUAUUAGAUGUGUUGCCUAUACAUACUCGGCAAGAACAGAUUUAUGAUUUGAAUGUAUUCCGUUUUUAUGGAUUUGAAUGCGGUACAUAUAUUUUUAAUUCGUCAUUUUAGUAUAAACAAAGUUCUUUUAUCUUAGGUUUUUAUUUCUUGAUUUUAAGCAGACAAGUUAUAUACAUGUUAUGAUUGACAAUUCAUAACAUAUGCACAACUG